rnacentral:lncRNA from 1 species
GUCAUUGAGUGCAAAAAAUAAAUGUUCUUUUAAGGUAGGGUUGUUGUAUAUCAAAUGAAAGGUCAUGAUGUGUACAUUUGAAAUAUCAAUUUCCCGACCUCCAAAAAUUUGUUGGAUAGGGUUAUUAAGUGCAAAACUCAAACUUUCAAGAACAUGGUGUUGUCUCAUAUCAAACGAAAGCUCAUCUACUCUUUUCCAUAUAUCAUAAUUCC